UAGAGUUUUCUAAACUCCCAACCCAUGUGAACUUACCAUUGUUGCCUCGGCAGAAGUUGCCCGGUACACCUUACCUUGGAACGGCCUACCUUGUAGCGCCUUACCCUGGAACGGCUUACCCUGUAGCGGCUGCCGGUGGACUACCAAACUCUUGUUAUUUUAUUGUAAUCUGAGCGUCUUAUUUUAAUAAGUCA
rnacentral:misc_RNA from 1 species